GAUGAACGCUGGCGGCGUGCCUAAUACAUGCAAGUCGAGCGAACAGACGAGGAGCUUGCUCCUCUGACGUUAGCGGCGGACGGGUGAGUAACACGUGCAUAACCUACCUAUAAGACUGGGAUAACUUCGGGAAACCGGAGCUAAUACCGGAUAAUAUAUUGAACGGCAUGGUUCAAUAGUGAAAGACGGUUUUGCUGUCACUUAUAGAUGGAUCCGCGCCGCAUUAGCUAGUUGGUAAGGUAACGGCUUACCAAGGCAACGAUGCGUAGCCGACCUGACAGGGUGAUCGGCCACACUGGAACUGGGACAAGGUCCAGACUCCUACGGGAGGCAGCAGUAGGGAAUCUUCCGCAAUGGGCGAAAGCUUGACGGAGCAACGCCGCGUGAGUGAUGAAGGUCUUCGGAUCUGAAAACCCUGUUAUUAGGGAAGAAAAAAUGUGUAAGUAACUAUGCACGUCUUGACGGUACCUAAUCAGAAAGCCACGGCUAACUACGUG
rnacentral:rRNA from 1 species